GACGAACGCUGGCGGCGUGCUUAACACAUGCAAGUCGAGCGGUAAGGCCCUUUCGGGGGUACACGAGCGGCGAACGGGUGAGUAACACGUGGGUGACCUGCCCUCAGCCCUGGGAUAAGCCUGGGAAACCGGGUCUAAUACUGGAUAUGACUCCAUGACGCAUGUUGUGGGGUGGAAAGCCUUGUGCGGCUGAGGAUGGGCCCGCGGCCUAUCAGCUUGUUGGUGGGGUGAUGGCCUACCAAGGCGACGACGGGUAGCCGGCCUGAGAGGGCGACCGGCCACACUGGGACUGAGACACGGCCCAGACUCCUACGGGAGGCAGCAGGUGGGGAAUCUUGCGCAAUGGGCGAAAGCCUGACGCAGCGACGCCGCGUGAGGGAUGACGGCCU
rnacentral:rRNA from 1 species